rnacentral:rRNA from 1 species
GGAUAAUCUACCCUUAGGACUGGGAUAACCCCGGGAAACUGGGGCUAAUACCGGAUAGGCAAUUAUUCCUGCAAUGGUUUUUUGUUUAAAUGUUUUUUCGCCUAAGGAUGAGUCUGCGGCCGAUUAGGUAGUUGGUUAGGUAAUGGCUUACCAAGCCGUUGAUCGGUACGGGUUGUGAGAGCAAGAGCCCGGAGAUGGAACCUGAGACAAGGUUCCAGGCCCUACGGGGUGCAGCAGGCGCGAAACCUCCGCAAUGUGAGAAAUCGCGACGGGGGGAUCCCAAGUGCCAUUCUUAACGGGAUGGCUUUUCAUUAGUGUAAAGAGCUUUUGGAAUAAGAGCUGGGCAAGACCGGUGCCAGCCGCCGCGGUAACACCGGCAGCCCUAGUGGUAACAAUUUUUAUUGGGCCUAAAGCGUCCGUAGCCGGUUUAAUAAGUCUCUGGUGAAAUCCUGUAGCUUAACUGUGGGAAUUGCUGGAGAUACUAUUAGACUUGAGACCGGGAGAGGUUAGAGGUACUCCCAGGGUAGAGGUGAAAUUCUGUAAUCCUGGGAGGACCGCCUGUUGCGAAGGCGUCUAACUGGAACGGUUCUGACGGUGAGGGACGAAAGUUAGGGGCGCGAACCGGAUUAGAUACCCGGGUAGUCCUAACUGUAAACGAUGCGGACUUGGUGUUGGGGUGGCUUUGAGCUGCUCCAGUGCCGAAGGGAAGCUGUUAAGUCCGCCGCCUGGGAAGUACGGUCGCAAGACUGAAACUUAA